rnacentral:rRNA from 1 species
CAUGCAAGUCGAACGGCAGCGCGGGAGCAAUCCUGGCGGCGAGUGGCGAACGGGUGAGUAAUACAUCGGAACGUGCCCAAUCGUGGGGGAUAACGCAGCGAAAGCUGUGCUAAUACCGCAUACGAUCUACGGAUGAAAGCAGGGGAUCGCAAGACCUUGCGCGAAUGGAGCGGCCGAUGGCAGAUUAGGUAGUUGGUGAGGUAAAGGCUCACCAAGCCUUCGAUCUGUAGCUGGUCUGAGAGGACGACCAGCCACACUGGGACUGAGACACGGCCCAGACUCCUACGGGAGGCAGCAGUGGGGAAUUUUGGACAAUGGGCGAAAGCCUGAUCCAGCCAUGCCGCGUGCAGGAUGAAGGCCUUCGGGUUGUAAACUGCUUUUGUACGGAACGAAACGGCCUUUUCUAAUAAAGAGGGCUAAUGACGGUACCGUAAGAAUAAGCACCGGCUAACUACGUGCCAGCAGCCGCGGUAAUACGUAGGGUGCAAGCGUUAAUCGGAAUUACUGGGCGUAAAGCGUGCGCAGGCGGUAAUGUAAGACAGUUGUGAAAUCCCCGGGCUCAACCUGGGAACUGCAUCUGUGACUGCAUUGCUGGAGUACGGUAGAGGGGGAUGGAAUUCCGCGUGUAGCAGUGAAAUGCGUAGAUAUGCGGAGGAACACCGAU